rnacentral:rRNA from 1 species
UCGAUGCAACGCGAAGAACCUUACCUGGCCUUGACAUACUAGAAACUUUCCAGAGAUGGAUUGGUGCCUUCGGGAAUCUAGAUACAGGUGCUGCAUGGCUGUCGUCAGCUCGCGUCGUGAGAUGUUGGGUUAAGUCCCGCAACGAGCGCAACCCUUUUCCUUACUUGCCAGCAUUUCGGAUGGGAACUUUAAGGAUACUGCCAGUGACAAACUGGAGGAAGGCGGGGACGACGUCAAGUCAUCAUGGCCCUUACGGCCAGGGCUACACACGUGCUACAAUGGUCGGUACAAAGGGUUGCUACACAGCGAUGUGAUGCUAAUCUCAAAAAGCCGAUCGUAGUCCGGAUUGGAGUCUGCAACUCGACUCCAUGAAGUCGGAAUCGCUAGUAAUCGCGGAUCAGAAUGCCGCGGUGAAUACGUUCCCGGGCCUUGUACACACCGCCCGUCACACCAUGGGAGUUUGUUGCACCAGAAGUAGGUAGUCUAACCGCAAGGAGGA